CACGUAGGGGCGAGCGUUGUCCGGAAUUACUGGGCGUAAAGGGUGCGUAGGCGGUCUUUCAAGCCAGAAGUGAAAGGCUACGGCUCAACCGUAGUAAGCUUUUGGAACUGUAAGACUUGAGUGCAGGAGAGGAGAGUGGAAUUCCUAGUGUAGCGGUGAAAUGCGUAGAUAUUAGGAGGAACACCAGUAGCGAAGGCGGCUCUCUGGACUGUAACUGACGCUGAGGCACGAAAGCGUGGGGAGCAAACAGGAUUAGAUACCCCCGGUAGUCCCUGA
rnacentral:rRNA from 1 species